CCGGCGCACGGGUGAGUAACACGUAUGCAAUCCACCUGUAACAGGGGGAGUAACCCGGAGAAAUCCGGACUAAUACCCCAUAAUAUGGGCGCUCCGCAUGGAGAGCCCAUUAAAGAGAGCAAUUUUGGUUACAGACGAGCAUGCGCUCCAUUAGCCAGUUGGCGGGGUAACGGCCCACCAAAGCGACGAUGGAUAGGGGUUCUGAGGGGAAGGUCCCCCACAUUGGAACUGAGACACGGUCCAA
rnacentral:rRNA from 1 species